GAUGAACGCUGGCGGCGUGCCUAAUACAUGCAAGUCGAGCGAACGGACGAGAAGCUUGCUUUUCUGAUGUUAGCGGCGGACGGGUGAGUAACACGUGGAUAACCUACCUAUAAGACUGGGAUAACUUCGGGAAACCGGAGCUAAUACCGGAUAAUAUUUUGAACCGCAUGGUUCAAAAGUGAAAGACGGUCUUGCUGUCACUUAUAGAUGGAUCCGCGCUGCAUUAGCUAGUUGGUAAGGUAACGGCUUACCAAGGCAACGAUGCAUAGCCGACCUGAGAGGGUGAUCGGCCACACUGGAACUGAGACACGGUCCAGACGCCUACGGGAGGCAGCAGUAGGGAAUCUUCCGCAAUGGGCGAAAGCCUGACGGAGCAACGCCGCGUGAGUGAUGAAGGUCUUCGGAUCGUAAAACUCUGUUAUUAGGGAAGAACAUAUGUGUAAGUAACUGUGCACAUCUUGAAGGUACCUAAUCAGAAAGCCACGGCUAACUAAGUG
rnacentral:rRNA from 1 species